GCUAAUAGCGGUUCAGCACCAAAUCUUGGAUGAUUUCAUAAUAUGGAAACAAGACCAGACUGGAAAAACUACAGCAGAGAAAAGCCAUUUCACUUUGGAUCUUCUGUGACUAUUUGGUGUAGUGAUGUUUAGUAAGAUUUAAGGUACUGAAAGAUGUCCAGUGCAAUAAUUCAAGAUUUGAAUAAGCGUAUUACUAGAUUUUUGUGAAUUUACUACCUGUGGAAAGUGCUGGAUUAACAGUUCUGGUGUAUCUAUCUACUACUACUCUCAGUGCAUCCUUGGGAAAAUUAGUAAAUCUGUAUUUUGGAUAUUCCCAAGUCAUAACAACAAAGCAGAGCUCCUUGCCUGAGACCCAUGACAAAGAUACAGUGUGCAGCCUGAAGAACAGGUUGGAACUCAGACCAAGGAAUGGUUUUUAUCUCCAUGAAAAAAAAAAGGCAUGUCUUCGUGAUGGUUGGAAACAAAACCUUUUCAUAUUUGUACAGGAAGGUGCUACCCGCAGACUUCAUAAGUCAGCAGAUCGACUCUGUCUGGUCUAGAGAAUGUCUAGAACAUGGAUAUCCAUCAUCUCAUCAUUAUUAUGAAAAUGCUUUGAGUGGUAUCAGGAGUGGGGUGGAUGUGCUAUCAAGACCUGCAGUCCACAGAGCAGUGCACUGUUGUACAGUUCUAGGGCUCCAUCACCCACCCCCUCCUCCUCCUCAGCGUCGCCAGCACUACCCAACACCGUCAUUCAAAAAGAUUACAACUGCAUUGUCAAAAGGAGCCCAGUGCUAAAAUUUGUUACAGAGACAUUAGGACACUCUUAAAUAUCUGCAAGUUUUCUCAACAGUGUGAAAUGCUGAAGGAAAAGAGAUGAGAAGCUGGAAGUAGCUUCUGCAAUGCAUCAUUUGACAGGAAGUCAAGUUAUCGGAAUGAAGCCAUAUAGGUAUCAAUCUUACACCCAUAUAUGGUGUACAUCCCAGUUACCAUACAGAUAUGAAAGGGCCAUUAGGGCCCCUUAUCAGCUGUAUAUUGGUGUAAUUAAAGGGUUUGAUAGCAUUAACCUGAACUGUGAAAGUCUCCAGACAAUGCACUCUAUCAGUCAUCUGACCCUUGAGAUUAAACAGCUACAGUAAGAAGACUUUCUCCUCUACUUUCCAAAGGACACACUGAUUUGCUGAGUUCAGUGGACCUUUAAAGGAAAAGACUUGCUUUUUCUCCUUAAAAGCAAACUGUUCUUUUUGAUCUAGCCUUCUAAUUUAACAACAUAAAAAAAAAAAAAAAAAAGAAAUUUCUUCCUGAAUGUAUUGUUAUAUUUUGAUGAAUAUUUAAUGAAGGAUAAUGUUGAAUUUAUACCUUUUUAGUUCAUGUGUUUUUGUAGCUGUGCCUUGUUUUCCAUUUCAGCUCAUGUCCUUUUGUGGUCAAAUAACAUGAGGAUUUAGUAACUGUGUGUAUUUCAAGGGUCCAUGUAAGCCCCCAAAUUCUUGAUAUCAUUUUCCAUUUCCCAAACAAUAAGAAGUUCAGAUUUGGACCAGUAACCUAAACAAAAUCUGGAACUCAGCAGCUAAUUGCCUUUUUGUCCUGUUGUCUUGCAGAAGUGCUAAAUGAAGCCUGUCAUUUGCUAUCCCAAAGGCUUGCUAAAUUUUCAGCACAGAUGAUGGGGAACAACAAAAGCUGCUAAUCAUCAGGAAGAUUUAAUCAGCAUUUUAUUUGGGAGAAUUUGGGUAUAUCUUUGAUUCUUAGUGAAAAAGUAGUCCACAAUCUUGUUAAAAAAAAUAAAGAUAUCAAAAAAAUAAAAAGAAUAUUGUUU
rnacentral:lncRNA from 1 species